rnacentral:rRNA from 1 species
AUGCGUCCGUCCCAUAUAAAUUGUGUUUUCCCUUCAGUGCCUCAGCAACCUUUCUCGCCGGCCGAAAUGGCAAAUAACUUCCUCCUCGGAGGCCUGGGGGCCAUCCUUGUCGUCGCGGUCGUGGUGGGCGUAGUCGCCACCGUGACCAGCUCCGGUAACAAUAAGGCCGGCGACAACUUCAAUGUCCCAGGUGAGGCCAACCUUGCCACCUCCGGCAAGUCGGUCAAGUCUCUGUGCGCCCCCACGCUGUACAAGGAGUCGUGCGAGAAGACCCUCACCUCGGCCUCCAAUGGCACCGAGAACCCCAAAGAGGUGUUCGCCACCGUUGCCAAGUCGGCGAUGGAGUCGAUCAAGUCGGCGGUGGAGCGGUCAAAAAGUAUCGGGGAGGUCAAGUCGAGCGACCCCUUGACGGAGGGCGCGCGCCAGGACUGCAAGGAGCUCCUGGAGGACUCCGUGGACGACCUCAAGGGCAUGGUCGAGAUGGCCGGCGGCGACAUCAAGGUGCUCCUUAGCCGCACCGACGACCUCGAGCACUGGAUCACCGGUGUGAUGACCUUUAUCGACACCUGCGCCGAUGGCUUCGCCGACGAGAAGCUCAAGGCGGACAUGCAGGGCAUCCUGCGCAACGCCACGGAGCUCAGCAGCAACGCGCUCGCCAUCACCAACAGCCUCGGCGCCAUCUUCAAGAAGCUCGACCUCGACGUGUUCAAGACCGACUCCCGCCGCCGCCUCUUGUCUGCGGAGGAGUCGAAGUACCCCGCGUGGAUGAAGGCUCCAGAAAGGAAGCUACUGGCCUCCGGUGGCUUGCCAGCGCCGAACGCGGUUGUGGCCAAGGACGGAAGCGGCAAAUUCAAGACCAUCCAGGACGCCGUGAACUCCAUGCCCAAGGAUCACCCUGGCCGGUACGUGAUCUACGUCAAGGCUGGGGUCUACGAAGAGAUGGUCAUGGUCCCCAAGGACAAGGUCAACAUAUUCAUGUAUGGCGACGGCCCCAAGCAAAGCCGCGUCACCGGCAGUAAGAGCUUCGCCGACGGCAUCACCACCAUGAAGACCGCCACCUUCUCCAUUGAGGCGGCCGGGUUCAUCUGCAAGAACAUGGGGUUCCACAACACGGCUGGCGCGGAGAAGCACCAGGCGGUGGCGCUGCGGGUGCAGGGCGACCUCUCGGCGUUCUUCAACUGCCGGUUCGACGCGUUCCAGGACACGCUGUACGUGCACGCCCGGCGCCAGUUCUUCCGCAACUGCGUCAUCUCCGGCACCAUCGACUUCAUCUUCGGCAACUCGGCCGCCGUGUUCCAGAACUGUCUCAUCAUCACGCGCCGGCCCAUGGACAACCAGCAGAACUCGGUGACUGCGCACGGCCGCACGGACCCCAACAUGAAGUCCGGGCUGGUGAUCCAGAACUGCCGCCUGGUGCCGGACCAGAAGCUGUUCGCGGACCGCUUCAAGAUCCCGUCCUACCUGGGCAGGCCGUGGAAGGAGUUCUCGCGGCUGGUCAUCAUGGAGAGCAUGAUCGCCGACUUCAUCAAGCCCGAGGGGUACAUGCCGUGGAACGGCGACUUCGCGCUCAAGACGCUCUACUACGCCGAGUUCGGCAACCGCGGCCCCGGCGCCGGCACCAGCAAGAGGGUCACCUGGCCAGGGUUCCGCGUCAUCGGGAACAAGGAGGCCGAGCAGUUCACCGCAGGGCCCUUCAUCGACGGGGCGACAUGGCUCAAGUUCACCGGCAUGCCCAACUACCUCGGAUUCAAGGUCUAA